rnacentral:lncRNA from 1 species
CUCACUGUGUUCCUUCUCAUUGUCCUCCCUCCAGCUGUAUUUCCUCCACCAGCAACAUUCCAUUUCAAGCCACAGUACUGUAAAGACAGAUGCCACAAAGUUCAUCUGUUAUUGAGUGACCACAGGAAAUGCCAGAGAUUCUGAGAAGCAAUUGAAAUUGAACCAUGUAACAGCCAACCUGACCCUCUUCACUCAUGCCCCUCAGGAUCCUGGGUGUAACAUCAAUUAAGACAAAUUAACAUAAAGAAUCCUGGAAGAAACAUAAUUUCUUUCAAGAAAUACUAGCGGCCCCAUGUUGUGAUUCAGGCCAUUGAGAAAUAUUUCAAGUAUGACUCCGAGAAAAGCUUUCACAAAUAUUUUAUGAGCUUCAAAAUUAUAAGAAUUCACCAAGCCCCCUCUUUCCACUGCUACCAUUUUGCAAGGACAACAUCACAAGGUGAAGAAGCCAGGCUACACUAGAAACUAAAUGUGGGAUUUUGCCCACUUUUCACGCAUCAAGCCUCUUUCGAAGGUUGUGCUCUAAAUGACCUCAUUCAAAGCAUAAGGAGAACAU